CCCCAGUGGGGUCCCUGAGCCGGAGCUCUGCCAACGAGGAACGUACUGCCAAGGUCCAGCAGCCAAGCUGGCUGUGGCCUGUGUGCCUCGCCCUGCCAGUCACCACUGCCCUGAGAGAGGCACCACCACGCCACGACCAUGCAGCACUGGCAGCUUCUCUGUAAGCAAUGAGCAGGAGCCUGGGACAUUGCAUGACAUUGGCCUUCCAGACCCAGAGGAGCUAUCGGCACCCUCCUCCCCACUGCCUGCCAUGUGCACUCAAGUGUCAGGAAGGGGGUGCCAUUGCACGAGUCCCUCACUGCUCUGCUAAUGCCAUCUUUGCAGGCUUCUUCAGUGAAGCUUGGUGAUUAUUCCAAGAAAUGAUGUCAAGCUUAGGGAAGCCACAGGUGGCCCUGGGGAGUUGUGCAGUCAAAGAAUGUGCAGUUUAUUCAGUAUCUCGCAGCUUUCCACACAGGGCAACUGUGGCCAGUCACUGCAGCCCAAAGAGCCCAAAUUGUGUUUCGGACAC
rnacentral:lncRNA from 1 species